rnacentral:lncRNA from 1 species
UUCGAAGAGGAACCUUAAUUGAGAAAAUGCCUCUAUCAGACUGGUCUCUAGCUCUAACCUUGAUCAGCUUCACCCUAAUACUGCAUCAAAAUCCAGCUCCAUGGUACUUCACCCUUUAGUGGCGUCCAGAGCUCAAGCAGAGAUCAACAAGGCAUCAACUACCAGAGCUGGAGGCCAAUGUAGGCCAACCACUCACACAUUCCAGAUGCUGCUCCUACAUAUGCUAGCCUUGAUCAGAACUAUCUGCGUUCAAUCCUCACCGCCAUCCGGGGCUUUCCACAGUGGUUUGCUUCAUUGCCUUGCCAGCCUUAGCUAUCCUUGCUGGAAAUUCU